rnacentral:misc_RNA from 1 species
GAUGAAGAACGCAGCGAAAUGCGAUACGUAAUGUGAAUUGCAGAAUUCAGUGAAUCAUCGAGUCUUUGAACGCACAUUGUGCCCCCUGGUAUUCCGGGGGGCAUGCCUGUCCUAGCGUCAUUGCUGCCCUCAAGCACGGCUUGUGUGUUGGGCCUCCGUCCUCCUCCCGGGGGACGGGCCCGAAAGGCAGCGGCGGCACCGCGUCCGGUCCUCGAGCGUAUGGGGCUUCGUCACCCGCUCUUGUAGGCCCGGCCGGCGCUUGCCGACACAUCAAUCUUUUUUCCAGGUUGACCUCGGAUCAGGUAGGGAUACCCGCUGAACUUAAGCAUAUCAAUAAGCGGAGGA